AGAGUCAGCGAUGGAAUGAAUCUGAGUUGGACACUCCAAUCUGCAGCUUUUCCAACAGAAGAUACUGUCAUUUCAACAGCCGAAGAGAAAGAACCAACAGUUACACCUCGUAAGCAGUGACAGCUUGUGCGAAGCUUGGUAAAUGAUCAGCUGCCACCAAGCCUAAAUGAAGACCAUGAUGAACCCGUUACCCUUGAAUGUCUUGAAUGCAAAGAGCUGAAACUAAAGCUUAGAAGGUGUCAGAGAAACUUGAGUAAAGCACGGUUGGCCAAGGAAAAAAAGGAACAAUUGCUAAAGGUAAAUUUUCGAAUAUAAGAUGUUGACAUUAGGAUGAUUUUUUAGAGGAAAGCUUGCUCUGUGAUGAGGAAAUGAAUGAAUGAAAUGAAUGAAUGAUUUUGAACUAGAAGAUAAUAAAUGUUAUUUAUCAGAUGAUGAAGAAGUAGAUGCUAAUUAACAGUCAAGAAACAAAAUAAGGUUUGUUCCAUUCAUAAAAAAUUUUUCAAUAUUAUCAAUGAUUAUCAGUGCUAACAGUUUUUCGAAAUUUAGCAUUAAAUCUGGAUGAUAAAAAUUUCUGUAACACUAGCUCAUAGGCCUUCAUCAACAUGUUGGGUCAAUCAUGUAUAUUUUUACCUGAAAGUAUGCCAAAAACUUCUGUGUUUUCCAUGGAACUUAAGACAACUAGGUUCCUGAUUUUAGAUUACCUUUUAAAAGAAUUUUGAUCCAAUGCUUGAGAUAGCAUAUGAAAACCACCUUGGAAUACAUUAUUUACUUUUCAGCGUUGGUAUUGGUGUUACUGACUGACGGAAAAUGAGCCAAAAUUCAUUGUGUUCUAUUCCAUGCUGUUGCAAAUUUUCUCCAUGUUCUGUUUCUAUUGCAAAUCUGAUGGACCAGCAAUUGAAAUGUUCAAAAAUGGAACAAUGGUGACUGUGAUACAAAGCUGUAAAAAGUGUGGACGCUGUUAUAAAUGGCAAAGUUAGCCAUUAAUAUUUAGCAAACAUCCUGCAGGAAAUAUUUUGGUUAGUUGUGGAUAGCUGGUUGCAGGAGCUUCGAUAAGCAAAACCAUAUUGAUUUUCAAGCACAUCGGAAUUUCAAUAUAUAAUAUUCGUACCUACUUCCAUCAUUAAAGAUAAUUUCUUUUCCCUACAAUUUUAAAAAGCUGGCAGGUAUAUCAAGAUAAGCUGUAUGAAGAGGCAAAAUCACAGAAUGAAUUGACUUGGUCAGGAAUUGGUAGAUUUGAUUUGAUCGGGCAUUCAGCCAAGUACUGUGUAUAUUCAAUGUUUUCUCCUUCCAUGAUGAAGAUAGUUCACUUUAAGCCACUUCAUAUUCACUUUCAUUAUGUUUACUGCAAAGCGUCACAAACAAUAACAUUUAAAUAGAGUUAAAUUUUCGGAGAAUUUGAAUAUGUAAAUCUUGUAAAUAUGGUGCCACAAGUACCACUAUUUGUUGAAACUAGUUGGCAAACUCAGUGUUUUUUACGUUAUAUGUAUGUAUAUAAUGGCAGAUCCAACUUGGUUUGUCACAUUGGUUUAUAGUAUGUGCUCAUGCGACUUUUGACCCCAGAAAUUGACUCAAAAUAUUUGUGGCAAUUCUAUGUAAAAACAGAUUUAUAUGAUUCUUAUUAUGAAUUAGUAUGAAUUACUCAUUAGCUAUCAAUACUAUUUAAUGAGCUGUUAAAACUUAUUCAAUAUUUAGCUAUUGCUUACUUGAAAAUAUGAGCUGUAAUAUCGGAUUAUAUUAUAUUUAUGUUCUUCAAACAUGUAUACACAUUAAUAUUACAAUAUUUUACAUAUUUAUGUAUACAUAUUUCAGUCAAACCAAGUACAGCUGGGUUGUAAUGUCCCCAUUCCAGAAUUUACGUCAGACAUACAUGCUGGUAUUCCAAAAUGGCUGAGAGAACAAAAUCCCGAGAUUAUACAUUAUUUUGAUGUAUGGCACUUGGCAAGAAAUUUUGUAAAAAAAGAUACAAUGGAUGGAAAGGAAAAGGCUAGUGAAAAUCUGUUGGAAUGGCUUAAAGCAAUUAGGAAUAAUUUGUACUGGUGCGCAACCUCAACUACUCCUGUUCUUGAAGACAUGAUAAAAGCAAAGUGGCUUUUUCUGAUGCUGCAAAUAAACAUGAUGACCAUCCAGAUUUGCUGUUUCCCAAGUGUGCUCAUGAGAUUUGUAGCGCAGAGAUUGGAUAAAAAGUUGUUUUGGUAAAAAGGCUAUAUUUUUUUGUCAGGUGGCCUAUGUAAGGAUCAUGAAAGUGUGAAUUUCAAUAUUCCAUGUAAGGUUUGGAUUAAAUGCUUGGUAUUUAUAUGAAAUGAAUAUGCAAAGUUUUGUAAUAUGAAUUUCAGCUUUAAAAGUUUUCUUAAAUCAGCAAAAUAUAUGCAUAUAUUCCUGUAUGAAGAAAUUGUGGUCAUAGAUUCAAUGCGAAAUCUUCUUACAAUCUUUCAGGGACUGUGGUUUAUAACAAACUUCUUUCUAUUGUGACCAACCCGCAAUUGGUAAAUACUAUCGGAAAACUUUCAGGGGAUGGGCAAACAGGUUGCAUUGAAGGUUUUCAUUCUACGCUAAACCACUGGCACCCAAAAAUGAUUGGAUUCCUUUAUACUGGGUGGGUUUGCAGGUUAAUAAAUUUUAUAUAAGCUUAUAUUGAAAUAGAAAUACAUUAUGCCCCUCUAUCUUGCUGUUUUCUGCUUUAUUAUGAAGCUGUGAUUUCCAAGAUCUAAACAAGUUUUGUUUGACGCAUUAUGGUUCUUCUAAUUGUGUCUGUGAAAAGUAUAUGCUAAGUGUGAAAAGUAUAUGCUAAAUUGCAGUAUGUGUUGAACUGUUUAGCAAAAAUUUUAAUUAUAUCAAAUUAUUAUUUGAUUUUGCAGAAAAACCUAUUUGUAUAUAUAAAUCUUGUAUAUAUUUAAGAACUAUAGUUGCCAUUCUGUAUUUCAAUGAAAAUAUCAAACAGGAGAGAAUUAAAACCAAAGAUGGAGAGUCUUACUUCCAUGUUGUUUAUCCAAAAUACAAAUUUUGGGAGGAAAUAGUUCACGAGGUAAGUUUUACGCUAUUUACAUGUGUGUUCUCUGGUAACACUGGGUGUCGCAAUACGAUCUUUACCACCCAACCAACUUAUAAUAAUUAGUUGUUUUCACGACAACUUUUCAAAAAAGUCCCAUAUUGAUCUAUGAAAAUUUAUGCUAGAAAAUCAAUCACGCGUUUUAGUCUGGAGUAUCUGGGUACUUCACUCGGCAAUGUUUAGACAAACAAGUUUUGAAGUGACUUCACACAACAAGUCAUCAAAGCCUUGUUCGCUGAAGUCUUUGAUGUUUGUUGAAGUUGAAGGGGAAUCAAAUGCAAUUCAUUUCUGCCUUCCAAGGAUGUCGAAGAUGUAUUAGCAAUGAUAUUCAGUCAGGAAAGACAGAACGUAUAAAGUGUUACAAACAUAUCCCACCCUUUUGCUGAAAUAACUGCUAAAACAUAAACUGGAUGAACUUCUGAACUUUUGAAAUGAUAGAUGAACUUUUCAUUCCUUAUAUACCAAGCAUUUUACAUACAUUGUAUAACAAAACUUAACAAGGAUGCCCACUGACAGCAAGGCAUUUUCUGCUGUUAGACAACUAACUCCAUAUGGCCCUGAUGUUAAAAUAGAAAAGGAGGACUGCAUAAAUCAUGUAUCAAAGAGAAUGGGAUCUGCCUUGAGGAAUCUAGUGGCUGAGUCAAAAGCACAAAAACAGCCAGUUUCUGGAAAAGGAAAAAUUACACAAGAAAAGAUGCUGAAGAUCCAAAUUUAUUAUGGACGGGCGAUAAAAAAUCAUGCUGGGGAUAUUCCACUUCUAAAAAAGCGCAUCGUGGCCAUUUUGCUACAUCUUUCAUUAACAGAUGAUUUGCCUAAACAUGCUCAUUGCCCUCCUGGACCAUGGUAUUUCUGGCAAAGAGCUUUGGCUAUCAUUAAGUUCAAGUUAUGUUAUCAUUCACAGCUUUCACUUCUUACAUUAAGUCACGGUGUGUAUAACAGUGAUAAACAAGUUAUUUGAUUACCAUAACAUUGGGAUAUUCCAUCUUAUUAUCACCUCAUUAAGUCAACAGCAAGCAUUGUUCUCAUAAAGGUUUAGCAGCUGUCAUUCCUGAGCUUCUAAGGGCAUAACGCGUUUAACAUAUUCCAAAUCUUCACCAGAGCAUUUGAAACACCUGGUAAUCACAGAGAACAUGAGACAUUACCAACAGAAGUUGGCAAGAAAUUGGUUCCUAUAUUUAAGCGAUUAUCAGAUGAUAGUCUAUUAAAACAGUGUGUAAGGGACAAAACGUAGAAUCCAAAUGAGUCACUGUAAAACAUUAUUUGGAGACUUUGCCCAAAAACUACCUUUGUUGGAAGAAAAACAUUAGAAACUGCAGUCAUGCUAGCAAUUUGUCAAUUUGCAACCGGGGCAACAUUCAAAGUUGUUCUCUGCCAAGUUCUGAGUCUCUCUCCAGGGUCAACUUUAGAACUGUCAGCAGCAAAAAAACCAAGAAAGGUUAAAAAAGGCAGAAUUAGCUGUAAGAGCAGAAGCAAAAAAGAGAAGAAGGAGCCUGAAAUAUAAAAAAUGACCAGAGCAGAAAAGGACAGUGCAAGAAGGUGAACAAUAUGCUGCUGAAAAAUAUAAUGCAUGAGAAUUUUCAAUUAUGUGGUUAAAAGUAAUAAUUUUUCACAUGGUAUAUAUUUUAUUUCUAAUUGAAUUCUAAGAAAAGUGACAUUUCUCUUGAAGAAAAUUGAAAACCUAUUAAUUCUAGCUUGCAAGCUCUUCAUACAUUAGUUUUAAAACUUUAAUCAGCAUUUUCUAAUAAUAAUGAUUUCGGGAAAAUUGGUAAAGCUUAGUGCAAAGAAAUAUUUCACCCCCUGAAUAUAACAAGACAUGUCUAUAUACCAGAAGAAACCUUAUACUUCAGAGAAUGCACAAAAGGCCUUUUUUUUGCAUUAAAUAUCAAAUUGUUAUAGUAUUGCACUGAGAAGGUGAUGCAUAGCCGAAAAACAAGAAAAUUUGUAAAAUGUGUAACAACAAAGUACAAGAUUACAAAAUUCCAUUUAAAGACCUUUUGUGCACUCCUCAGGGUCCAAGCAACUGUUUGAUGUGUCAUUUUGGAUUGUAUGUUUAACUACAACUAAGAACAGCUUGCACUAGAGCAAUGCAUGUUUUCCCCAAUUCAUUACCGGUUACCAUAGCAACUGCAAGUUAUUUUUAAAAGGGUAAAAAGUUGCCCCAGAAUCCGAAAUUUUAGCAUUGUAUCUUUUAAAACAAAGAACUUAGAAUUUGGACCAGUAGCCUACCAAGGACUGAGAGCAGAACCUUGAUGAAGUCCGACCCUGGUCAUAAACUCAUCCGAGUUACCAACACAGCCCUUUACUGUCCAGUUAUUCAAAAUUCAUUUGAACAAAUUAUCUUUCUGGUAAUUUACACUCUAAAUGCAUAUCUAAAAAUGAAAAUUAUUUUUUUUCCAAAAAUUUCAUUAUAUUCUAUUGUUUUUUAUUGGUUGCCGUAUGGCAACUAUGGACAUCAAAGGUGAAAACACAAAAAAUAUAUGUUUCAUAAAAUUAACAGAAAAUUAUAAGCAUUAUACAUUCAUACAAAAGCAGUAAAUUGGAACUAAAAUCCACUAAAUAGUAUUGUUCUAAAGUGUUAAAUUGACUCUUUUACAAAUUAUAAAAGUCGCAAAAACAGUUUUUAUUAGAAGUGAGACACAAGCACACUACUUUUUUCACAGAAGGCACGCACGACUGUAACCCGUUUUGCAAAGCCUGCAUUUAUUUUGCUUCUCAUAGUAAGGCCAGUGACCCAGCUGGUCAUAUCUUGAAUCAGAUCACAUUUGGAAUGAACUCCUAUUUGGUCUGACAACUGAUGAUUUGGUCAUUGCCUUUCCUGCUUUUCUCAAGGCAAUCUCUGCUUUUUCAGGUACUUUCAUCUGUGACCAAAAUCUUCUGUAAAGUAACCAGCCAUACACUUUUGCAAUGUCAACUGCAUGAAAGAGGAUUACAAGAUACCAUCGUUUGGUUUUUAUCUUGCAUCUAUACAGUGCUAUCAGCAUAUCUACCAGGUCCACACCCCCCAAUGAUGUGUUGUAUGCCUUGACAAUCAUUGGGCAUGUAACAUCUACAUGCGUUUUACUGGAUGAAUUCCAUCUUUUAACAGUAACUGUUUCAUCAACAUUGAGGUAUGUUGACACAAGUGUAACAAACUUGUUGUCAAACAGCGCAAGGCAAACAUCCCAGUAACCUGGUCUUUUUGGAACCCAAAUCUGCCUCUUCCAUCCUUUUCAUCUCUGUUUCACUUUUCAGGGUACAACCAGCAAGACGAUUAUUUCUGAUUGUUGCUGUCGUUAAAAUGCCCCUUUUUUGAGUACCAGGCAAAGAUCUAACGUUGCAAACCAAUUGUCAAAAAAAAUUAUAAAUGCAACCAGUCAACACUUUGUCACAGAGCUUUAGAACAACAUUUUUGCAGAGGUUUUUUCACCUCCCGCACUAGCAGCUAAGGUAUAAAAGAAAAAGUCAUAAAUCAUGCCACUCUGACCUGCUCUCACAAAGUCCUUGAAGCUCCAUUUCUGGGGUUUUUCAAGGAUUGUAUUGUCUUAUCCCACUAAACUUUGUCUUGGCAGGGAGAAUCUGCUCAUAGAUGGAUUGGUACUCUUCCUAUUAAAUUUUUUGGCAAUUCUCACGCCAAGAUUGGAGAAUUGGAUCAAUAUUGAACAGCUUGUUGCCUUUAUUCUAUUAUCAUUUGCAUGAAGAAACUGUCUUGACUUUCUGUUUCUGUUUAAUGCCAUCACCUCAACAAUAUGAGAGUAUCUUGUCUUACCUGCCCUGAAAUUAUCGUAUUUUGGCUUUUUUACUAUGCCCAUCUUCAACUGGAUCCCUAUAAGCUGCUCAAUUCCAUUUUUGUGGGUCAGUUUAUUUGCUCUCCCAGCUGAUUGGUCGUGGAAUCAAGGUUGUAUCUAACUUUGCAUUUUGUCUCCAUCACUUAUGAACUUAAAUUGAAAAAUAAAGUUUUUAAAUCAAGGAACAGUCCAACAAUGCAAAAAUCGUUAUUGGGUUUCAGUAAAUUCGUCAAGAAGACAUGGUAACACGACUGUAAACAUACUUAGGCCCAUUUGACAAAUUCGACCUUGAAUGACCAUAGUUGCCAAGUGGCAACCAAAUUGUUAGAAGCAAAUAAAUGUAAGAACCAGCCUUUUAACAAAUAAAUGUUGUCUUUCACAUCAACAUAUAAUCUUUGAGAAUAGACUAUCCAGUGAUAAGCAAUAUAUUUGCGAAACUUUUAGCGAUAAAAUUUCCAAAUGAUGCAAGCCACUGAAAACUGUUAAAACCACCACUUCUCCCUGCAAACAACAAAACAAACCAUUCAAAACAUUCAAUACAAAAAAAAAGAUAUCUAUAGCAACAUCAGAAAGAGAUUUGGUAAGUUAAAUCACAGACUACCUAUACAGAACAACCAAUGAAUAUUUAGUUGCCAUAUGGCAACUGUGGACAGUAAAGGGUACUGGUGAGAUUAGAAAAUUUGCACCGCCUCCUCAGGGACCGUGGACAGUCACAGAAAAACUGCCAAAUGGAGUUAACUUUGAAAUCAUUAACGAAAAAAAAUUAAAUCAUCAAAACAAUAGUUAAAGAACAUUCAUUCGAUAUUUCAUAGGAAAGUUAUUUAGCAGACAGCCAAAGUAACGCUAGUGACCAAAGCUAUGACUAUAGCCCUGAUACUGACGACAAUAACCAAAACAGAGAACAUCAAGUCAAGCAUAGUCAAUACCCGUUUAGAAACAGGAGAGCAGCCAUUUAUAUAUAGGAGGGAUAAAAUGUAGGGUUAUACCCCUGUGACUGGACAUACUUUUCUUCAAAUGCCACAAGUCAAAAUAAUGUUCUAUUCCAUCCUCUCUUCCCCACAUAUGUUUGGCUAUUUAAGUGUGACGGUCGAAAACAAAAACACCAAUAUUGAACAAACUUCAUACUCCAUCAAGGGGCUGCUUCCAACUUCAUUUCUCUGCUAAUAAAUAAAAUUCCUUGAUUUCCUGCAAAUGAGUAUAUCUUUUAAGCAAGAUAAAAUCAGAUAAUAUUUAUAUAUUUCGCAAUCCAUUCAGCAACUUUUUUCUGAAUGUUUUCAUCAUCACGUCUAUCAUCAAUCAAAGUAGCUUUCAGAUUCGGUUUUGUUGUCCACAGAUGUUGCAAAAUAGUGGCUUGGAUCACACUGUACCUGUACUAGUUCAAAAUGGAUAAGCUUUUGAUUGUUACAACACAUGACUGAAUAUGCACCAUAUUUGGCACAAUGCCCCAUACUGCCAUGUUGUCAAUCUCCACAGAUCACAAGGUUCUCAUUUGAUUCCGUUAACAAAUCAAGCAUAUUUUCUUGGUACUGCUUAAUUGCAUACAGAGAAAUGGCUGGAAACAGCUUUUCCUGGAGGUGAAAAAGAUCUCUUCAUUUUCCAAGCCAAAAAAUUUAUUUAUUUCAUUUCUGAUUAUGGAAAGAUUGUGACGAGGCAAAAAAAAAUGCAUAACCCAAGCAAAGUAAAAAACACACUGCUUACCCUCUGGUGUUUGAAGAAUGUUUUCAACGAUAUGCAUGCAAGUCCCAUGUGGAAAAUAUUCGUAGCACUUUUGUGGCAGUUCCUCCAGCAAGCAAUAUUGCAAAUGACAACAACAGAUUGCCAGCCAGAAUACGAUUCCCUUCCAUUUGUGGUUGGCUUCUCCAUACAUUCUCCCUCUUUCGACAUUUGGGAUUUGCACAAAGGAUUCGAACCUCUGCCAUUGUUCCUAUCUUUUUGUCUCAAGCAAUAGAUUGUCCUCUUUGCAGACAGGACAAAACUGAAGCAACAGAAGUAGUUGAGAUAUAAAUACAAUGAAUCCGGGCGCUUUCCUUGUAUCAGUCUAUUCCGGGUAUAUGCUAAAAUAAUGAAAAGAAUAAAGAGUUUAUGAUUUUGUAUAUUUGGAGAAGUCUAUGAUUUUGUUCAUAAAAGAUGGUCUUAUAUGGAGGGUUUAGUUUAGCAGCUAAAAAAAUUAAAUCUGUAUUUACCGUUCUGGUUCAUCUUCCUCUGAUUCUCCAUCAGAGACUUCUUUAUCCUCUACAAAGCUUUUAUCGGUGUCAUCAUCUUCUUCAAAACUCUCAUUUUCAUCUGAGACACUUUCAGCAAUCUCAUCUACCUUCCUUGUUUCUAUCUCAUCCAGAUAUCUUUGUCAAAUACAUUUUGGGUGGUUUUCUUUGUCGCUUUCUGCCGCAUUUUUCUUGUUUUCCAUUGCAAAAUCCUCAACCUUCUUCUGUUCGACUUCAGUUGAUUUUGCAACCUCCUAUUUUGUUCAUUGAGAGUGUUACAGGAAAUACAAUCCAAUUGGCUUGGCACACUGCAUCUUGAAACUGAUAAAAGACAACAAGUGUGUUUUAAAACUUCUCUAAUUUGUAAAAUGUGGCAGAGAUAAAUGUUUGUAAAUUUAUUUUAUUCAUUUCAGUUUAUUUUAAAAUUCCAAUACCAAACCUUAUUCAAUAUGCAACAAGUGACUAAGACUAUAUAACAAGAAUACAAAAGUUGGAAAACAAAAUAUUGCUAUAAAUGAAUAUAGAUAAUUGAUAUUUGUAUUGCGGGAGUUUCUUAAGGAGGGGCUCUCACAAUAGGUAAACUAAACAUAUAUUCAAACCAGUUAAAUCCUAAAACAUACCAGCUCUGUGUGGUACUGUAUAGACUUAUCUAAGUCAGAUAAUUCCUCUGCAGCAAAUUCAAUGUCUGCAUUUGCAAUUUCUGAAACACCAGUUUCUUGAGCAGCUUGCAUUGAUUCUUGUACAGCUUUUAUAGUCUACAAUAUAAAUUAUUGCUUUGACAUCAUUAUGCGAUAGUGAAACCUUAAAAUAAUCCUUGGCUUUACCUAGAUACUAGUUUUAACUUCUGCUACCCUUAACCCUCCAUUCCCAAUCCAGAUCGAAAGGUAUGUAUCAUUUGGAUCAUAAAAGUGAUAAAUAUACAAGUCAAUAUAGCACUGAAAAGACCAUCGCUAGUACUGAAUAAUUGUAUGUUUCCCUUCGAUUGCACCAAUGCAAUUCGGGAAAUUCCAUCUCUCUUCGAACUCUCAGCUAAUUUUUUUCCAGUCUCCUGAUGGCUGGAGUACUUUAAGAAAUCCCUCUUUCUGCAACACCAUCCAUAACACACUACAAUUCUACCAACCGUGGUUCCGCUCAUACUAUAGCUGGCAGCGAUAGUAUUGAAUGCAUCACCUGUUACAAGGAAACGCAAUGUAACACAUAAACGUUCAGGAGGCUGAAUUGGUUCCUUUCUCAUAGAUUCCUGAAUCAAAUGAGGAGCAACAUAUUUUAAUAAUUCUUUGAAUCUUGUAGCUGACAUUCGAAACAUCUGAAAAAAUAAUUCGAGACCCUACACUUGUGUUUGUCGAAUAAGCUAAUGGUAUUCACCUUUAACUUUUCGUUGCCUGUAAAUUUCUCUGACCCAACCAUCUCUUUCUGGGUUGUUUCGAGUAGAAAUGGCGUUCUACUUCUUCAGGUUCCAUCAGUCUUUGUCUCAUGAAAAGAAGUAACAAUAACUUUCUUCGCCGAUUUCCAGCUGCCAUGUUUGUUUGUAACUUUUCGCGGGUUUUCAAAGCUGUUCUUGUGUUUCUGGCGGUCAUGCUAUCUCCAGUUGCACGUACGAUUGUGGAAUUUGACAAAAUCUGACCGUGUAAGAGCAGCUUAAAAUGGAUUUGUCUUUUCCAUUUAGUAGGAAAAAAUGCAAGUGGUGUUUUCAAUAGAUAUAAUUAAAAUUUAUCAUACGAUUACCUAAAAAUGGGGGUUUAUCUACACAUAACUAUUAGUUGGCACCUGCAACAGAAGUACGCUGCUUUGAAAUAAGACAAAAAUUUAAUAAUGAAGUUUGUGAAAGUUACACAUCGGGUCACACAAAGGUAUGUUUACAGAUAGAUGUAUCAAUAAAUUAUUUUGUAAAUUUGUACAUUAGUUUAGCAAUAUUUUGUAAAACACAUUUUAUUUGCUUCUUGGUCUUCUUGACAACUUAAAGAUUCCUCUGCUCAUAAAUGAGUUCAUUUUAUGCACAUAUGAUGUAGUCUAGAAUGUGGUUAACAAAUAAAUGUAAUAUAAACAAAUAAAAAUAACAAAUAAAAACUCAUUUUCGCUCUAAUUAAUCGCCCUAGAGAAGAAGGGGCUGCUUUAUUGAAAUCAAGAGUAGCCCGCUGAUUUUAGAUCAACAAGGAUAUGGAGUUCCUUUUCACUGAUGAUCAAAACCGCAAAAUUCAACGCAUCAGUCAACUUAUGUUACGUUGUCUACUCUGUUAUAUUCUGUUAAUUUUCCUUCAACUAUAAGCAUUUCUAAACAAAAAAUUAGUUAUAGUUUAUAUGAAUCAAUUAUUCUUCUUUUUAGGGCAGAUAGGACUACCCUGCACUUCCGAGUCAUGGGCAAACGGCAGGAGAAAACCAGGGAGAAUAAAAGCAAAACGCGGGCAAGGUGACUAAUACUACAUGAUACUACACGGAUUUUGCCUUGUCAAUGAAACCCUUUUCACUUCUUGACAAAGUAUAUUUUUGAUUUUAGAUGGACACUGACAACUUUGGGGCUCAACAUGCUUUAUAUCAAGAGCACUGUAUACUUAAGGGCUUAACAAGCCCCUGGGUCCCAGCGCUUUCAUAGUCCCUGUCAUUAUCCUGUGCUGUUUUCAUGUUAAUCAUAAUUCUUUGAUGGAAAUAGAGAAAUAUUUUUCAUGAUAGUUUUAUUUAAUUGUUUAUUCGUCAAUCAUUGCAGUCAACUAACUGUUUCUAUACAUUUUUCAGCACUGAUCACAGAGCCUGGAUCAAGGCUCCCAGAACCCAGAUCGGAACUGAUGCGGAAAAAAAUGUUUAGAUAAAAAAUAAUAGAGGAGGGAUAAUAAAGAAUGUUUUUAUUUUUAAUAGUUGAUGAAAAAAAAUUAUAAGCCAAAAACGUGUUUCUUUUUAUGUCUUGGGUCUCUUCUCUAUCAUUACUCAGGGCCAAGAAGGCGAUAAUGUAAGUCACUGUUACUAUAAGUCACUUCCAAACAUUUUCAGAACCAAUUCCAAACAAUCCAAAUAUCAUAAAAACUUGUAUGAAAAAAUCUACCAAUGUGUAUUAAGCCUUCGAUAAAUAUGAAGCAUUUAUUUCAGUAACAGUUCAGCUUCAAGGGGGUAAGAAUGCUGUCUAACUGUGGUACGAUGUUUGACUUGUAUAAGGUGAGAAUAUCCAGUGAGAAUUGAAAUUCUGUCAGACAUGCUGUGUGAGUUUUCCUGGAUACAGUUUUGUGAGAUUCAACAAACUAUGGCAAAAAAUGAAAAACAUCUUCAUCCCCUGGUUAAUCUAAUACCCAGAUUGUGCGGUACUUUAUAACACAACACGGUUUCCGUGCAUGCCAUUGAUUUGUAUACAUUGAACGAAGAAUCACAGGAAGCUCUUUCAAUUGCUUGCUUAUAUAGAUAUAUUGAUAUAUCCAAAAGUAACACCCUCAGAUCAAACAAUCCGUUUACAAGUUGAAAAAAGCACCAGAAAUUGCGAAGUUAAAAGUCGAAUAAGAAAGAAGGUACUUUAUCAUUUGCUUUCUUCUUAAUCUUUAAAUUGUUUGAGAGAAACCGUGUAAUUGAAGUUUGCUGGGGGGAAGGGGGGUUUGUGUAGAGUAAUGCGAUGGUACUGUGCAGAAAUACACCUUCAUUUAACAUCAAGGUUUAGAAUUACAUCUUCAUUUAACAUUAGGGUAAAUUUAUACGAUCAAAAUCUUGCAAACAAAUAGCUCAGAAACUUUUCAAUUAUAAUGCACCCUUUUAUAACAAAACAAGGUUCACCCUUUGUACACCAGUUUCAUAAUUCUGUGGCAAAUCAUUUUGAAAUUUGUUGUUUGUUCAUUCUGCAAAAGAUUGGGGACUUUUGAAGUUGCUUCCGAUUUUCAAGAAUUUUUCUUUGCAUCUUCAGUUUUAUGCCAACCAGCUGAUAGCAUUGAUAUAAAAUGCAAUAAUAACAGAGCUCCAGUUUCAAAAUUUGAUGAUUUGCUCAUGUUUUUCCACUCACUAUUGAAGUUUCUUAAGUUUUCCUGAAUGUCCAGUGGAGAACUCAUUUCUUAUUGCUAAUUUCUUAUAGAAAAGGAUUUGCUAAUUGAUUUGACUUACUUUACUAAAGCUUGAUUUUUUCUGUUCAUUUGUUCUCUCAUCUAGAAUAUUAUGGAUCCUUCAUUAAUGGAGAGAUUAGAGUCAUUGAAAAUGGACCGAACAAACGAGAUGCUGGUCUAGAGGCUCUAUAUAAUAGAGGCAGGUAUUGCGUCAAUAUUGCAAGAUGCAACAAUGAACAAUAGCUUGCAGGACGAAUCUAUAGACAAUCAUAUUUUAGAAUUAGAUGUUAAUUUAUCUCAAAACAGGAACUAACAAUCGCAAAAGAUUUCUUUUUUGUGUUUUAUCUCUACCUAUCAAAGACAUUACACAUAAAGACAUUCUACUUUUAGUCAGUUGCUAAACCUCUUCAACAAAAGGAUUGCAAGGUUAAAGUUUGCCGCAUGGACAUUACAUCGAGUAUUACUGAAUAGUAAUGGGAGAAUGUUGAA